UACAGAGGUGGCAAACGUUGUCCGGAUUUAUUGGGUGUAAAGGGCAUGUAGGUGGUUUUGUAAGUCAAAGGUGAAAUGGCCCGGCUCAACCAGGUCAUUGCCUUUGAAACUGCAAGACUCGAGUUCGGAAGAGGAAAGCGGAAUUCCCAGUGUAGCGGUGAAAUGCGUAGAUAUUGGGAGGAACACCUGUGGCGAAAGCGGCUCACUGGACCACAACUGACGCUGAGGCGCGAAAGCUAGGGGAGCAAACAGG
rnacentral:rRNA from 1 species